AUUUAUAGUAAAAUUCUCAUGAACAUGGAUAAGGUUUCUCCAUAUUCCUAUCCGAAGAAAAUGGAUUAUAUGAAAAAGGAUACUGUAAGUAUAAUUAUUUCAUUGAUGUUUGCAUAUUACAAUUGAUUUUAAUUAAUUGAAUUUAUUACAGCUUUGCAUUUGGAAGGACAAAAAGGAAAACAACAAAACACAUUUAAUUGAAAAAUAUCUUAAAAGCUAAUUCUGAUCUAGUUUUAUCUUCCAUAAUCGUCUUGCACAAUGCCAUAUGGCGUUAAAAUGCCUCGUAACAAUUUGUAAUAAAAUUGCAUCCAUCUUUUAAAUGACAAGCGAAAUUAAAAUCAUAACUUUCAUUUGUAUGAGUCUAUUGAAGAUUCCAUGUUUGGAAAUAGGCUUCUUUAAAAUUUCCAG